rnacentral:rRNA from 1 species
UGGGGAAUCUUGCGCAAUGGGCGAAAGCCUGACGCAGCGACGCCGCGUGGGGGAAGAAGGCUUUCGGGUUGUAAACCCCUUUCAGGAGAGACGAAGCUACUCGGGUUAAUAGCCCAGAGGGUGACGGUACCUCCAGAAGAAGCCCCGGCUAACUACGUGCCAGCAGCCGCGGUAAUACGUAGGGGGCAAGCGUUGUCCGGAUUUAUUGGGCGUAAAGAGCGUGUAGGCGGUUAGGUAGGUCCGUUGUGAAAACUCGAGGCUCAACCUCGAGACGCCGAUGGAAACCCCUUAACUAGAGACCGGAAGAGGAGAGUGGAAUUCCUGGUGUAGCGGUGAAAUGCGCAGAUAUCAGGAAGAACACCCGUGGCUAAGGCGGCUCUCUAGUACGGUACUGACGCUGAGACGCGAAAGCGUGGGGAGCGAACAG